rnacentral:rRNA from 1 species
GGAGUUAGCCGAGGCUUAUUCCUUAGGUACCGUCAGGUUUCUUCCCUAAGAAAAGCGGUUUACGACCCAAGGGCCUUCCUCCCGCACGCGGCAUUGCUCCGUCAGGCUUUCGCCCAUUGCGGAAAAUUCCCCA